GGCCUGAUGGUCUAGUGGUAUGAUUCCUCGUUUGGGCGGCUUGAGCCAAUGCAUACGAGGAGGCCCCGGGUUCAAACCCCGGUCAGGCCC